UCUCACACACACACACACACACACACACACACACACACACACACACACAUACAGGCACGUACACGCGCACAGACACACACACACACAGUCACGGUUCUGCUCACACACCCGCCAGCCCCCCUUAACCAAACAUUCAGUCUCUUGAGUUCACACACACACACACAGUGAGACAUGUUCAGACACAAAAUUAUUUUAUUUAUCCGAGCAACCAAUAAGGAAUAAUUACGUGUAGAUACGUGUACAUACGUAAUAUAACCACGCCCUUUAUUCAAUAAAAGCAGAGAGGUUACAGUACUCUACCAAACAUUCAACAGGCGGUGGUGUUUCUAACGUUACACGGCAAAAGAUCGCAAAACAUGGAUGCUCUUACGAACGCACCAAGAAAGGAAAUCGCAGGGUCUGAAAAGAAUCAUGUAUGGCCGCUAUCAGACGGUCGAUUCUUUGGAUUUCGUUUCCACGAUGAUAUGAAAUGCGUCACUCUGUGUAUCGGUCCAACAGUAAGAUUUGAGGAUGCGACCGUUUUGAUAACUCUUAAUGGAGAGGAAUGGCAUAGCUUCUCAAGACAUUGUUCAGUUUUUAACACCUAUCUCAUUUACAGAAAUUGUUACUGUAAACCGGAUUACCAUGAGAAAUUUAAUUUAACAUGGACACCCUAUAUACAAACCGGAACAAUGUUGCGUUCAUUCAAUCUAUAUCCGUAUUUAAAUGCCAAAUCGUACAA